rnacentral:rRNA from 1 species
GACGAACGCUGGCGGCGUGCUUAACACAUGCAAGUCGAACGGAAAGGCCCUGCUUUUGUGGGGUGCUCGAGUGGCGAACGGGUGAGUAACACGUGAGUAACCUGCCCUUGACUUUGGGAUAACUUCAGGAAACUGGGGCUAAUACCGGAUAGGAGCUCCUGCUGCAUGGUGGGGGUUGGAAAGUUUCGGCGGUUGGGGAUGGACUCGCGGCUUAUCAGCUUGUUGGGGGGGUAGUGGCUUACCAGGGCUUUGACGGGUAGCCGGCCUGAGAGGGUGACCGGCCACAUUGGGACUGAGAGACGGCCCAGAAUCCUACGGGAGGCAGCGGUGGGGAGUAUUGCGCAAUGGGCGGAAGCCUGAUGCAGCAACGCCGCGUGCGGGAUGACGGCCUUCGAGUUGUAAACCGCUUUCGCCUGUGACGAACCGUGAGUGACGGUAAUGGGUAAAGAAGCACCGGCUAACUACGUG